rnacentral:rRNA from 1 species
UGGGGAAUCUUGCACAAUGGGCGGAAGCCUGAUGCAGCGACGCCGCGUGGGGGAUGACGGCCUUCGGGUUGUAAACUCCUUUCGCCAGGGACGAAGCCGUGAGGUGACGGUACCUGGAUAAGAAGCACCGGCUAACUACGUGCCAGCAUCCGCGGUAAUACGUAGGGUGCGAGCGUUGUCCGGAAUUACUGGGCGUAAAGAGCUCGUAGGUGGUUUGUCGCGUCGUCUGUGAAAUUCCGGGGCUUAACUCCGGUCGUGCAGGCGAUACGGGCAUAACUUGAGUGCUGUAGGGGAGACUGGAAUUCCUGGUGGAGCGGUGAAAUGCGCAGAUAUCAGGAGGAAAACCGAUGGCGAAGGCAGGUAUCUGGGCAGUAACUGACGCUGAGGAGCGAAAGCAUGGGUAGCGAACAGG